CUAAAGAGUACUAGACUAGUAGAGAGUGGAGACUAGUAGCGUAAAGCGUUCGAUCAGUCUCUGGUCCCGAAAAGAAAAACGUAGGACUUGAAUUCUGAUGAGUUUCUCUCUUGCCUUCUAAUGGAAGUCUUUGGGUUUGAGAAGCGUAUCAAGCACUACACCAGCUAUCAGACAAUACUCUUGGUCAGAGAAGGAGACUUCUCCUUUGCCGUUGCCUUAGCCAGAGCUUUCGGCUCUUCCACCAAGAUGAUCGCUACUUCUCUCGACACCAGAGUAAUUGUAGAGUCAUUGAGGGAGAAGUAUUCAAAGGCUAUGAGCAAUGUGAUGGAAUUGGAGAACAGGGGAUGCAGAGUACUUCAUGAAGUGGAUGUGCACAGAAUGAGCCAACACCCUUUUCUGAGUUGUAUUCGGUUUGAUCGAAUAAUCUACAAUUUUCCUCAUGCCGGUUACUUGCACGGUCAAUCAUCAUCCGAGCACAACCAGUCUCAAAUUUGGUUCCAUCAGGAUUUGGUGAGGGGAUUCUUCAAGAAUGCGCGUGAAAUGCUUACCGAAAUAGGAGAAAUUCAUGUGACACACAAGACAACAUAUCCUUUCAGUCGAUGGGAAAUAGUUAAGUUAGCAGAAGAGGAUGGGUUGUAUUUGCUUCAGGAAGAAAAGUUCUCAAAAUGGGAUUACCCAGGUUAUGAAAAUAAGAGAGGAGCUGGGUUAUGUGAUCAAACUUUUCCUGUUGGAGAAUGUAGCACCUUCAAAUUUGGGAAGCUAUUGUACCAUUCUACCCCUUCCAGUUACUACAUUGACUUGGUUCGGGCUUACGGUCAGGAUUCUCGAAAUAACGGUCCUUACAUGCACCACUGUAAGCUACGAACUUUGAUGAUUAUGUUCUCGUCUAAAUUUUCUAUUGAUUUUACUUCAACGAGUUUGCAUGUGAAUUCUGUGAGCCUAAAUAUUUUUCAGGGUUAAUACACCCAAUGGGCUAAUUGACCAAGCAAUUCCUUCCAGAUGAAAGACUGAACUCUGUUUUCAGGCCAUUCUUUUAUAUAAAGUGAUCUCAAUUGCUAGUGUAGUAUGGACCAGUACCUCUUUUGACAAGAAUUUAAGCCGAUGGUUUUGAAGAGAUGGUCUCAUCCUUAGAUCAUGAACUUGGCAGUAUAUAUCUAGGCAUCUAGUUUGCACUGAUCUUUGUAGGAUGAACUCUCUUUUUGUGUCAACUGUCGGAUGUUGCAACCUGUAAAUGUAAUGUCCAAAUGUAGAGUUUUCCAUCAUCAGCGUCACCACAUUCUUAGCUUCUGUUGGUUAGAUUGAUAGUAUUGCAGUGCUUGCUAUAUAGUUACCGUAACCCUUGAUUAAUUUACUGCCUUUUCUAUCAUAUGUGUAGAAUAUUCUGUUAAUAUUUACUUUCCUUGUAUAUAGAUUACGUCUCUCUGUAUAAUUGUAGGAAAUCGUUUCCUAUUAGGAUUACUCUUGUAUCACUUUGUAAACCUAUUCUUGAGAUUUGAAUAAUAUUGAAG